rnacentral:tRNA from 1 species
GGGCAUGUAGUGUAGGGGUUAUCACGUUUGCUUCGCAAGUAAAAGGUCUCCGGUUCAAUUCCGGACUUGUCCA